AAAUGUGGUGCUAUAGAAGAAUGCUGAAGAUUAGACCAGCAAACCAUUUAACUAAUGAGAAGAUACUGAAUAGAAAUGGAGAGAAAUGAAAUUUGUGGCAUAACUUGACUAAAAGAGGGGAUCUGCUGACAGGCCACAUCAAGGGAUCUCCAAUUUAGUACUGGAGGGAAGUGUUUAAAAUAAAAAUUGUAGAGCGACAUCACUAUAUUAAUACAUUAAGACUGUUCUAAAGGAUGUCGGUUGCAGUAGUUCUUCGGAGACGAAGAGGCUUGCACACGACAGGAUAAAAUGGAGAGCUGUACCAAACCAGCCGUAGGACUCCUGAAGAUUACGCCAACAACAUGCAUUCUUAUGAACUUUGAGUUUUCGACUAUACUCUUUGACUGCUUCGAAUCUGAAGUAUAGUUUCUGCAUGGGCGUCAUUGUGUGGUGUCUGUAAAUAUGAAGCAGUAGUUGAAAACAUCGUUAGAAUUAGUUUUAGUUGUUAGUGGAGAUGGUGUAGCUACUCGUUGGGGACCAUGGCCGAAGUGAACGUAAGUCCCGAUGAAGAAGAACGUGUCCAUUUCAGAAGAAUAGUUGCUGCCUUUAAAUGUUACAGAUGCCACCUCAGUCCUAAUGGAAUAUAAUGUCCUAGAAAGUAUCCUAUAUAGUAUUCAAAACAUCAAAAAACCUUGAAUCCUGGUUUUAUCAAAGUGGACUGAAAAUGAAUGUAAGAAAGACCCACGUGAUGCAGUUUAGAGCUAAAAUACCAGAAACAGUUGAAAAUAAAAUAACUCAGAAUGGCCAGGAAAUGACAGAAGUAAGCCAUGUUAAGUUUUUGGGGCCAAGUCUAGACAAAUACUUUUAAUUGGAAGGCACAAGUAGAUGUCAUAGCAAACAAUUUAAAUAGUCGAACUUUGCAAUGUGUGGUUUAUCUGACGUGUCCCACAGAAGCAAAAAUGUGUCUCACAGAUACUUUGAAUUGGUUAUUGGGUAUAGUAUAACCUUCUGGGAAAAUUCAACCAACAACAUUAGACUUCUGAUGCUUCACAAGAAGAUCAUCAAAAGCAGUUUGUUUCAGGUUGCUGUUGUUUAAAUGUUAAUGAAAACUCUGAAGCAAGUAGGAGUCAGUUCCCUCUGAGCGACACAGGUGUUAACAGACUGAAAUCUUCAGUCAUCACCACCAGUGAAUUCUACACAACAGUGGAAAAUAACAUAAGGACAAAUUAAACAAUGUGUACUGCAUUUAGCUAGUUAUCUAUGUGUUCCAGAGAAUGUUUGUAUGAUAUUUAAUUAUAACAAGGCAUUGGUCAGUUGACAGGUUAAAGAAGUGGCUACAUGAUGCCCAUGUACUGAAUUUGUGUAAUAGUAAAAAUAUUUAGGUUAUUAGCAGAAGAAACUAUGUAAUUCUCUUAUACUUCUUACAAAACAAGUUUCUAAAUAAAAACUCCUCUUUAGAAUAUAAACUUUUUCAGCCUCCUAUUGUAUUUUCCUUUGCUGCUUGCCUGAAAUUUUAUGUAAAUAGGAAAGUGAAGAAAAUUAAAAUGAACAUGAGGAACUGUGA